CGGUUUGCGUAAUGGUGCCCUUCGAAACCGAUACGGAUACGGGGGCGUAAUGGCCCGUAACGGCGCAAAAAUUUUUUUUGGUAAAAAAAAUAUGGAUUAAAUCCGGAAUAUUCUAAGCAUUCCAAAUAUGCAUUCAUUUAUAAAUUGGAACAUGUUUAUGGUGGUGCAACGGUCCACUCUUUGGUGAGAAGUUGUAUCCGACUGUCUAAUGAAUUUAUGAACUAGAUAACCUGAAUUUGACUACAAAAUUCAUAUAUUUAAUUUUCUAACUAUCUACUAUCAAUGAUAGAUAUAUUAGAAUGAAUGUAAUAUGAAAAUAUCUUACAUUAGGUGUUUGCAAUUAUUUUUGAGGAAUUUCUCGAACAUACCUAUGCAUAAAGAAAUAUAAAAUGACACCACAAAUCUGUAAAAUGCACAUUAACAUGUUCUACUAUGAUUAACACAUCAUAUUGUAUGAUUAAAACAACAAAACAUACAUUAAAAAAUGAUUUUUCGAAUUUAAAAAAAAAGGGCCAUAAUUAUUGCGUAAAUAGAAAAAAAUAUAAAAUGACACCAAAAAUCUGUAAAAUGCACAUUAACAUGUUCUACUAUGAUUAACACAUCAUAUUGUAUGAUUAAAACAGUAAAACAUACAUUAAAAAAUGAUUUUUCGAAUUAAAAAAAAGGCCAUAAUUAUUGCGUUAAUAGAAAAAAAUAUAAAA